UUGGUCACAGUAAGAAGUAAGAGGUUUGGGGUUUAACCCCCCCAUCUGAGCAGGAGCUGUCUGCUUUUACUAGCUGCAAAUCCCAAGACCGGCACUCGAAAGCGUCUUAGACCCACAGUCCAUUUUUUACUUGUCUUUAAGUGCAAGUGAUGGGAAUUGCUAACCUCAGCUAAGAAAAUUUCAUUUGCCCCAUCCUGCUAAACGGUUCUGGUCGACAUAUGUUUGUUAUCAGAGAGAGGUGCUAUGAACACAGAGCCAUUUUCUUAGCAGCUCUUUGACUCUGUGUUACCAUAGUCCCACACAGCAUUGGUCCUUUCCCAUUGGGAAGUCAUGAAUAAGAGACUGUGAAGCUUGCACGUCAGAUCUUCCUCAAUUAAUCCACCCUUAGCAUGUUUGGGAUCCUCUGCUGGAUGGUUAACAGCAGCUUUGGUAACUGUAUGCUGUCCAUACCCAAUUAUGCUCUGCUAAAAAUGAACUCUGCAGAACAACCUUCCUGAGCUGUCAGUGUCUCCCGUUUUCCUAUUUUAACGCUUGUGUGUAGUGGCAGGCGACAGAUGGUGUAGAUCAGAUCGAUUUGAUUGCAUUAGGCGAUUUUUUUUUUUUCCCUCCUCUCCCCCCCGACUCCUUUUCUGGAAGCCCAUAUUCAUCUGAGAGGCGAUCGCCGGGGACAUGGGAAGCAAGAGCAGCCGCCGAUGUGUGAAAGCAACGAGACAUGGCCAGCCAGAGGCGCCGGGGUCCUUUCCCGGGGUUUGUUAACAUGGUAAUCCGGCACCAGGAGAGAAAGCUGCUUUCUACUGCCCAGAGCCCGUUCCCCAUCACACAUCAGAUGACUCUCUGGUUUUACACACAGUUGGAGUUCUGCUCGAAACCUGGAUUUAAAGGGAAUCUGUUGCUGCGUGUGACAUCUCUUGCGAGCUCCCAGAGAGAACUGAUGGAGCAUACAGCUAGGGAAUAGGAUGUCAGAGAAGCACAGAGGAAGAAACCAGGCAAUCACCAGGAUGGGAAGGUUCAGCGUCCAUUGGAUAUGGGACGAGAUCACUCGGCAACCCUUGUGGAUUCUCCUUCUUCUAAAGGGGAAUUAUAGUUAUGGAUUUAUUGUCCCGGUGCAGCGCUUCCACCAGCAGCAGCAACAGCGGCAGCUUUCUGACUCUCUUCGGUGACGGGUAUUCUUGGGUGGAUAAUACGGAUUACGUUGUUAUUGCUUAAGAAUACGCGUAGUCGAGGAGAGUACCGGCGGCGGGCAGGCAGGCAGGCAGCGCGACCGCCCCCAGCCCACCAGCUGGCUCCUAACCUCCUCUAGUUGCCAAGGUGUCACAGCAACGACCCCAGCCCAGCUCGCUUUCUCAGAGGAUGGUAGGAUGUGUCUCAGCGGCCACCGAGCAGAGCGGAAGGCUAAGGGCAAAGAGAGGGAAGCAACAGGGUUGCGGAGCAGAACUGUGGCAGACCUCAGUGUAUAACCCAGGUCUUCGGAAUGUCCCUUUAUCCACCAAAACAUCAUUAGUAUUUGCUAAGUGGUCAGUUUUUGGAAAUUCACAAAAUUUUCACCUUCAUCUUUCAUCUUUUAUAUAUGAUACGCAUGAAACAGCAAAUCUUGACAACUUGUUUAGUGAAAAUGGGCACAAGGAAAGCAGGUUCAAAUUGCAUGGCAAAUUUUUUACCUUAAGUAUUGAAGAAGAAAAAAAAAAAAAAGAUUCUGUAUACCCUGAGAUUAAAAGAGUAAAAAAAUAGGAAGGUCAAGGUAAGUAAUUGUAAGAGUAACUAUUGUGUAUUUCCUCGACAUCUCACGGGUUCAUACAGAAUAAUGACAUUUCUGAACUUCAAUAACUCCCAAAUAGAAAGGCUUGUGGGAUAAAGUUAGACAUGGUAUUUUUCAGCAAUUUGGCUUCAUUUUCCCUCUAGAUCUUAGGUGACAUAAAGCUCCAAAGGAGCUCGUAAUAUUACUGUCCAGGAGAUGAGAUCAAUGCUUAUGAGUACAUGUUUUGAUAAUACAGCUCAGAAAAUUGAAGCAAUUAUUAUUAUGGAAAGACCAAGGUGAUAAGUACCAUGCUAUAUAUGAACAACUGUCAGUCAGACAAGCCAAGAAAGGUCAUGAUCCAUUAUAUUAGUCAUGAAUGUUAUCAUAAACUGACAUAAGGAUGGUAAACUUGGAUUCUUACCUUUUUUUUAGUGUUGCUGUUCUUAAACUUUGCUGUGUUCUAGAAAGUCCAGUUAAUUAUUAAUGUUUCUCUCAAAAUAAAGGACUUUUCAGCAUAACAGAAUUAGUUUACUGAACAUCUACAUAAUUUCAUUUUAAAUUUUACUUUAAAUUAACUGGCUGAAGUGUCGCAGCAGAAUCCAAGAUACCGUGAACAGGUGAGGGAGGAGAAACCAGCAACACAGUAAUUCCUGAUUAUUUAGAUGCUGUCACAUCUGCAUCACUUGGGCAUCCCUAGGCCUCUUGCCCACGUGCGGGAGGCUGCUCCAGCUGAGAAUGGUAGGAACGGAGCAACAGAGGUGGGAGCUCCUGCCCUUGCCGCUGACCACACCAAGCCAGGACUGCGUCCUUUUGCAAAUCACUCCCUUGACAUUAAUUUUCUUUUCUAUAUCAAAUAUGAACCAGGGUGACACUCCAGAGUUUAUGACAGUGGAAUGGGAGAGUGUAAAUCAUAUUUUAUGUCUUUUGUGUUGCUGAGCAUUUUCACACCCACAUAGAGCAGGCAGCCCGGUGGCUGUCACCAGUGCAAGGCUCCUCUGAAUUCUGGGACCCUCAACUCCCAGAGCAGUAUCACCAGGGUCAAAGAAUCAGUGCCCUCUAUUGAGACUUCUUGCAAGCACCAAGGGAUCCUGCAUCCAUUGCUCACCAUUUAAGAGUCAGGAGUAAAUUGAUGUCACUUCAUGUAAACCUGUUCCCAACAUGGGUUCCUAAGCAAGGAUACGGGAAGUGACCUCUGUGCCCAUACAAAACCAAACCCUUGCAUCCACGCUCACUGACUUUACAAAUUCUACAAAGGAAUUGUAUCACCCUGAAAUAUGGAUGCAUUAGAGGUGAAACAACCACCCAGUUAACACUGGACAGUUUGGUUUCUAGCAUCUGGGGGAAUGGUAUGGCAAACUCCAGAAAUGCAAGAGGAAUUUAAGGUGGGAUUUAUGUCUAUGCAAACUUCAAAGAGAAAAGCAGGGUAAGUACUUCUAGAAAGUGCUAUGCUGUAUUUACUGACCGCAUCAGAUCAGAGGUGUGCUUUUUUGUCAGACUUAAAAUUCAGUAUUUCCAACAGACUCAUGGUGAUGUAUGGGUGUGAUAACAUUGACGCAGGCUGGAGACAGCCACCAGUGAGUCACCACACCAUUUCCUCCAGAAGCCGCCUGUCUACAGUAGGCAUCCCAUUGCACUGCUGAUUUAGUCUGGCUUGUAAAAAUCACCAAUCUAGUCUAGUUUGUACAAUCCUCAAAUAAGCCGUGUUUGUAUCAUGCAGGUAAAUGUUCAAAGUGAAACCAAUAUGGGCUAACUUGAAUUGUAUACGAUAUCUGCAAAUCAUUACUUCAAGUGAGAGCAUAAUGCCUGGAACCACAGGCAGGAAAAUACAUUUACAGACUAUCAAAUUAUCUUUGGAUAAUAGUGUAUACUUUUCACUGGUGUACUGUGUGUUCUGAUAGCUGAGCAAAUAAUACUACAGCUGGAAAAGGCUCAGAAUUUCAAAGAGAAGAGAUUUCAGAAGUAGAGUACUUCCGCAGGAGAGACUGGCUUUUCUGUAUUAUUCUGGGGAAAUAUUAAAACAAACAAACAAACAAAACCCAACAACCAAAACAAAGUAGUUAUUUUUUAUGACUCAGGACUACUAGAGUAACAUCCUAUGAUAAGCAAAACCUUUAGAUAAUUUGUCUAUUUGCUAACAUAACCUGCAAAGUGUUUUCUUAUUCACAUGAGUUUACUUCUCUUUAUGAAUUGUAACAAUGUUGUUUUGAUCAAAUGUCUUUUCAGAACUUGAACAAACAAAUCAAGUAGCUAAGAAACCAUAGCAGUUUGCAUGCACAAGUGCUGCUUGAAUAUAACUUUUUUCAAGCACGUUUUUACAGGAAAGAGUGCCCUUGGAAAUUUUGGAACAAAAGCCAUAUACCACAGUGCUGUUUAUGGUGUCUAUAGAAGUGUAUGACACCCAAGGUGCUUUUAAGAUGCUCCAAGCUAUAUCAAAGAGCAUUGAAUUCAGCACAGUUGAGAAUGCCCCCAGAUUCACUUAUGAAUACAUUUUUUCUUAUAUCCUGUAUGUUAACUACAGUUAGCAUAGCCUUGGUCAUUGAGAAUAAUCCAGAGAGUAAGCCUAUUAGGUAAGAUUUAGGAUCUACAUUUUUCUGCUCACAUCUGCUUGCCUGACUUAUGUAAUCUGCCUGGAUGUCACAGUUUACAUCCUAUUUUCAUUGGAGGAUAAUGCAAUUUGAUCGGUGUCUUCAUCUCCUUCUCCGUUUCUCCAAGAAAAAUCUCUGCUUGUCAGCUCCUCCUUACCGGUGCUCUUUGGUAUGAUCCCUAACCAUGUCCUUUAUUAAAGGGGAGUACAUGCAAGGUCUGCAGGCAAACACACAAUUUAUCAUUGUUUGUGCAAAGUGGGUGCUGAAAGUGUUACUUAAAAGACAGUAAGAAAAUAAAAGUGAUGUAGUAAUUUCCUAACCUCAAUUUUCUGUAUGUACUUCCUUCUCUCUCAAAUCUCUGGCACAUCACUGUUUUAGCAGCAAUCAGUCAGUAGAAGCUUUCUGAAGAUUUAUGUUUCCUUUUAAUUUUUACAAAACCGAACUGUAAAUCAGUAAUUUUAGAACAGCUCAGUCCGAGAGGUAAAUUAAAAUUAGGAAAAAUUAGACCAUUUCUAAUGAGAUGGUUAUUACCCUGAAUAAUGAUGAUUAUUGGUUCUGCUUAAUAAAACUGUCAGCCAAUGCAAAAUAUAUAUUAAGUGAAAUUACAUUACAUUAUAUUUCUAUCAACUUAGAAAUUCAUUGCACUGCUUCCCCACAAACCAUCGGCAUCACAAAAUGUUAGACGGUGCUUCCUUUUCCAAAUAGGAGAAAAUGUGGACCUUUCAAAAACAGUCGUUCAAAGCCCCGAUUUAAAGCCCAUUAAAUCUAAUGUGGUGAGGAGUCAUGUGGACUUUUGUGCCAUGUAGAUCAGGACAUCACUAAAACAAGCAGUGUUCUCUCCUGUUGUCUCUGCUAGAUAUCUAGAUAAUACUACUGUGGCGAAUAUUUACAGUAUAAUUAGCCUGCUUCAGGAAGAAAAAAACUUGUAGGCACACAUUCCCAGCCUCAUUGCCUCACUGAAUUCAUUGCUUAUCAGUUCACGGGAUCUUCUGUUUCGAUUUGCCUGGCAAAUUAGGAGAUGGGCUUCAUAGAAUAAACUACACUUUUUUAUUUCCAAGGUGAAAAACAAUGAGGAAAAUUAUCCAUUAACUAAAAACGAGAUCCUGCUGUACAAAACUCGACACUGGAGCCCCAAAUGCUGAAGUGAGCCAACACCCUAGAAUCCUGUUAGCUGGCCAAAGACAUAACUGUCCGGAAAACCUGAAUGCUGAGCAUUUAUUUGUUUAAAAGCAGGACAUGGUACCAAAAGUUGCCUUCAGCAAAGAAAGCUGUGCUGAGGAACGAGAGCCAUCCCUCUGUGAGGGUGACUCCCUGCCUCUGCACAGGGAGCCUACGUGGUGAUAAACUGCCAAAGGGAGGGGAAGAAAGGGGAAGGGAAGCUAAGAGUGCAUUGCUGCUACCACACCUGCUGUGUGUAAGGUUUCAUCUAAAAGGAUAUGUUUUCAUGGAAUAUUUUGAUAUGAACUAAAGCACAUUUGUCCCACAGAGAAGAUGUAUACUGCAGCUACAGCAGCACUAUAAUUUAUAGAUUCGGAGAAAGAUUAAACAAGCAGUAACGACUGCAUGACUUGAUAUGCACCUAUGCCAAUCAGCCUGGUGAACUGGGGUAUGGAGUCGUGCAAGCCUUUCUGUGGUGAAUGUUGAAACCUGAAGAAGCACAGAUUUUCCUGUAUAAUUUUAUUUCUUUGAGAAUGCUAUUGCUCUUUCAAACAGCAAUGUAUUAUCUUAAAUGAGGAUGAUAACAUGGUUAAUAAGCCACAGCACAUGUGGUUAUAAGGUUUUUAUCAUGCUUUGAAACAUUUACUAAUCCACAAGAUUUCUCCUUUUAUGAAGCCCAUUUUGUAGAGUUCCAUAAACAAGGUUCAACAGUCACAAUUUCAUUAGCAUUAUAUUGUUGCCAUGGUAAUGUGGUACCAAUUCAAUUGAUGGGCUUUUUAUCCUGGGCUUAUUAUAGAAUUGCUCUUCCCGUCAAAGAUACAUCUAUAUGGAAACAGCAAACAGACCUUAUCAUCUGAAUAUUAGCACAAAAUUUCGUCAUAUGCUAAUUUGGAUAGGAACGUAUCACAUUAUUGGCAUCAGACACAGAAAUCAUCACAAACACAAUAGAAGUUAGUAAACAUCAUACAUGGUAAAGAUGCACUUUAAAAUUAGAAAAAUUACUUGCAUUGUUUGCUGCAGUAUCUGAAUUUGUUAUUGCAAAAGCACUUGGCUCUGCUGUGAUGUUCUCUGUAAUGCUGUUGGGAGGGCACAGUGCUGCAGGUGGUAAUAUCAAAGGAAAAAAAAGCAGUAACAAAUGCUAAAGAAUAAAACGUGAGCUGAAGGGAUGUUGGUCAUUCUCCUGUUUGCAUGUUCUGCAGCAGGUUCUGGGGAAAUCACUGCCAAAUAAAAAGCGUUAGUUUCUUGGUCUCUAAAACGGGGAUAAUGGCCCCUCUGCCUCCUGUAUGGAGCACCUGGCGUAUAGCCGAUAACAAGGGUUAGCUGGUACUGCUAAACAUUAUUAUUAACUAAAGUAGCGAUGUUUUUAACAGCUCCAGGAAAAUACACUGCAGAGAUCUACAAUUUGAGAAAUGUCACUGGGAGAAUCUGGACUCACCCAGGGAAGCACAGAAGAGUCGGCAGACUGAGCAGGCAACAAAACAUAUGUAGUUAUGGAGGAAAGAUACUCACAUUGCUGAAAAGAAUCAUGACAGUUUGUAGUUUUUCUUAAAAUAAAAAAUAUUAUAGGCUACAGGAGAAGUAUUUGCAGCAGUCUGACCAAGGAGAACAACGAUACAAUACAAGGUAACAGUGGGGUGGCUUGUUUAUUUUAUGUUGAAACGCUUGUAUAUUUUCACUGUUUUUUGAUGAUUGUUUCCUAUUUAGAUAGGAAAUAUCUCUUCCAUCCUGAUACAUAAUAUUCAGUCUAUCAUUUCUCAGCUUAAUCAUAUUGCAUCCUUUGCAGCAGCAAGGGUAAAUUACAGACAGGAGAGUAUUUGGUAUAAUCAAAGAUGUAUUCCAUUUUACAUGAUAAGUUUUGUCUGAUUUACAAAGGCAGUAUCUUCUCCAGCUGAGCAAGAAAAGAGAGAUGUGCACUUGCAGAUCAAAAAAAAAAAACCCUCAGAGGAGAGGCUGCUCCUCCAUUAGGAUCCUAUUGUUCAUGCAAAAGUAACCAUUGUUACUAGUAUUCUCUAUUUAUUUACUUUUACCAUGAUAUAGCCACAAGACCCAGCUGAGUAUGGGACCUCUUUGUGCUAAGCACAGCAAAACCGCACAAAGUCACAGUCUCUUCUUCAGACAAUUCAGGAACUUAAGAGCCAUGAGAAAGACCAGAGAGGAAAGAAAAGUAGAAAGAGGGAAAGACAGCUUAAGUAACUGACUGAAGGCCAGUGAAGUUGCCCCUCAAUCUGCAUGCCCGCCCCACUGGAAGAAGGAGAUAUUCGGAGAUAUCCUCCCUCAGAUUCUGAGGAUUCAGACUCUAACGUGUACAUGGAGCUACGCUUUACCCCCUAAUUUGAUGGCUGCAUCUAUGUUACUGAGCAGGGGCAGCCUGAGGCAAAGCUUGAAGUCAGCUGUGCAGCCCACCCAUAUUACCUACUAAAACACCUUCAGGCUGGCUCCAGGGCAACCCUGUUAAUCCUCCCAGGGACAAAGGCUCAGGAAUACCCUAUGUUUUUGAGCAUGUUCAAGGGCACCAGGGUCAGGAUACCUGUCAGAGGAAUAUUAAUGGUUUCAACACCACAAUCGAGGCAAACGGGAUCAGGCUUUCUUCCUCUGUGGUAGGGACUUCCAAAUCCAAGCCUGAACAGAUGGAGGGGGAGCAGGGGUAAGAGAGCAGAUUUUGGUCACAAGAACAAAAAGUCUGUUUGCACAAGAGUGUGAAGGCUUUGAUCAGGAAGAAAUUUGAUGUCUUAUAUGAGGAGAGCAUUGGCUUGGAGAUUUUCUUGCUUUCUCCCUCUCUCUUAAAAAUCCAUACUAUAAAAAACUGUUAAACUCUUGGGGAGGAAGGAUUCAUCUUCUGAUCAGUAAAUACUACCUUUUGUUGUGUGGUGCCUGCUGGUUUUACUGCUGUUUCAAGCUUUUAAAAUGCUUUCAGGGAAUCUCAUUAGAUUUUAACUUCUUUUUUUUUUGUUAGGGAAUCUGAAGAGACUUUAUAAUAAUCCCAACUAAACUUUUUUAAUAAUAUCUGCAAAUAAUAGGCAGGCAUGGAUUUGAUCUCAUAUACGGACCCGAUAAAAUUCUGAUCUAUAGUAAAACUCAUUAGUCAGGAAUCUAUUGUCAUCACAUUAAUGAAUAUAAAAGCUGGCACCUUUAAAAUGGCAAUAUUAGGGUAAGCCUAUAUAUUUUAAUAAUGGCUUUGCAUCAUGCAUUCAGUAUUGGUGAAGAUUAAGAUUUAGCCUACAGAAGUAAUAUCCAUUAUGAUGGGAUUGUCCACAGUGAAUUGAGUAGGACAUUUGCUUAAUUAAAAGUAUUUAUCUUAGGUUAUUUAAGAAGUAUGCCCUACUACUGAACUGAUGAUAGAAAUUAGUUCCUUAUAAUCAGUUCACUACUGAUGACUCUCCUUAUAUUAAACAGAAGAAGAAAAAGGUAAGAGAAGAGUGAGAGGAAAGUAAUAAAUCCCAAUGCCUGAGAAUUUAAAGGAACUUUAGAAAUAAUGAUUAACACUACGUCAUGAGAAGGAGAUAUACACGAUCACACCUACAAUGCAGACAGCUAAGCAGAACCCUAAAAGGGGGCAUUUCCUGGAGAAAUUUAGGAAACGAAACAAUGAACAGAAGCCCAGAUUCACAUUCCUACACAAUGGACCUGUGCUAAUUAUCCUUCCCCUAAUGAGGCCUCAGAUGGUAUAUUUGAUAUAUUGGGAGAUGACUUUGAGGAUUAGGGGUGGGACAGGGUGCUGCCGCAGUAAGGAGGCAUAGCCGGGGGCAGGAGGAAGGUCUAUGGUGUGGGGCAUCUCGCGGGGUCUUGGUGAUGGCUUUUCCCAGAUGUGGGCAAGGCGCUGGGGGAAGCAGAGCUGCUCUGCCUGGGGAAUUUGAGCAGCGUGAAGAGCAGAGCAGAGCCAAGGCAAAAGCCAGAGCUACAGGGAGGGCAGGAACUGGUCUGACCUGCUCCCUUGGGUGGUUUUAGUCAUCUGUUUAUAAAACCAUACCUUUAAGACCAAGCCCUAACUGGUGUAGUGUUUCAGCCUGUAUCAAUGUUACAGCUGUACAGCCUAGCUCUCCCGGACUAGCCUGUCUUCCUCUCUCGCCAUGCCAAAUGACCCAUGGAAAACUGUAGAUCUUCAGUCCGUGGGGACAAUUUAACAUCGGCAGCUUCUGGGGGUGCUGCUACAAGGUAGAGAUGCUUCUAUCUCCUUCAAACCAUCCCAUCAACUCAGGCGUGCUACUUACGUGAACAGCUUAUGACUCCCACAGCAGAGAGCUACUUGCUUGCUUCUAGGAAAACCCUCCUGCCUGUGAGGCAGCCCUGCAAGGCAGCUGGACCUUUCACCAGCCAGACACCAAAUCACUCACUAACUAGUUUUGGCUGAGUUUGCCUCUCCUUAGAUAGAGCCUAGAGGACAGAGGAGAAAUAUUUCUUUUCUUCAUGCCACAACUUGUUUUGUUGUUAUUUCUUCCUGUCUCUUUUUUACACUCCAAGCAUUUUUCUUUCUUAAUAAGCUAACAGCAAGAAAUACUGUACCCCCUACUCUACUAAUUUAAUUUCAGUAAUUUGUUUUAACUCUUAUUCUAAGAUUCAAAUAGCAAGUGACGUUUAUUGAUAUAUGUUACACUUCUGAAACACUAGAAAAAAAAAUCUGGCUCAUUCUCUGCUAAUGCUGUCUUAGAUACUGUUUUAGGAAGAGGAACCACGCUGCACGGAACCACCCUGAGCAUCUGCACAGGAUCGGAGCUGUCAGUGAAGUGUGUGGCCACAAAACUGGUUCUGAUUUGUCCAUGUGAUUUUCUAGGCGAGCCUCGGACCCUGCCUAUGUUGUGUGCUCCCAGACCUCGGCCCCAUGAUGGCAGACAGAGUGACAUCCAGAGUCCCGCUUCCCCCAGGCACUGUGCUGGGCAUUUGCUGCUGGCGGAGUUGCCUGCGCCCAGCAGGACACCGAGCUGCCAGACACCUGACCCAGACUGACUGCUGGUAGAGACACUGCUGGGGCUGGCUUUGCUCUGCUUCUUGCUGCCUGCCUGUCUUAUUCUUCUGAGUUAUGUCCCAGCUCACUCCUGUCCCAUUGUGCCGCUGCCUCCAGGCUGUGUUGAGUUUUCAAUUAUCACAAUAUACAAUGCAGAUGCUAUAUAAAACAGCUAGCGUGACUCAAACAGGCUCAGUUCAGUAGAAAUAAAGUUAAAUAAAAAAGACUGCUAUAAUACCAGGAGGCUGAUUGCAACCACGAGAUACCAGUGUCAUAUCCUGUGGCUUUUAUGUUGGUAGAUGCAGGUUUUAGCCAUUAGAGUUUAGGAAUCCAGCAGAUAACAACCAUAGGAAAUGGAUCAGGCUGUCUUCAGCUGUGAAUAACUGAUACACUUUCACCAAUAAAUGGAGAUCUGGUAAUCUGCUAGAAGAAAAAAACCUUUGAGAUACCUACAAACAUAUUCUGGCAUGUAAUAUAUGGUAGCUUCUAACUAUGUAUAACUUAGACUCCCUGAUUACUCACAUAAACUGUGUCUAGAGAGCUCUGACCUCGGAGAACAAAUGUGCUCAUACAUGAUCAACUUCAAAUUCAGGCAAGGAAAUAAACAGUGAGUGUACAUCUUAACUUCUGUAUUUGUACAAAGAAUAACAAACAUCCGGAUCAAGUAUCAUCAUAGAUGGGGGAAAAAUGCUAUGACAAAAGAGGGAGAAAAAAAAUACGAUAAUGUAAAAUGUGCCUGUUAUUGACUUUUGGAAAAGCUCAACAGCUAGAAUUUUAGAAUGUGAUAUGUAGACAAAUGUAAAGAGAGCAACCCAUUAAGUGUGCUUUUCUCCAGAGCAAAAUGAAAUAGGCAUACAGAGCAAAUUAUAAUACUUAGUAUUUUCAGGGCAAAUUCUAUUUGAAGAUCAUGAAGUAAUUGGGAAACAUUAACGAAUUAGCCUCACAUCUAGCUUUCAGGUAGAUAAUAAUGAAAAUUAUUACUAUAAAUAAAUAUUAUUAUUAUAAUUCUUGCUCAAAAAAAUUGAAUAUUGCAGUGUAGAGCAUUUAUGCAUUUGUUCAAAGUCUGUGUUUUACUACUUUACCUAUCCUUCUCUACACCUAUUAUCUAUCUAGUUCAUCCUUUUCCAAAUACUGUGUGUGAUAUAAUAUUCAGUUUAUGAGCUCUAUAAACCAACCAGCUGAGUUUCCUUAUGAAACAGUGCCUGUGAACAUCUCCAUUUGCAUUUGAAUUCUCAAGCAGUGACAAUCCUGCUUAAAAAAAAAAAUAAAGGAAAAUGGAAUCAUGAAAAUCAGUACAAAAUCUGUCAAGGCCCCAUCUGUGAUGGGGUAUCGGAAUAUCACUAAGAAGCUCUGAGGAACAAAGUUCAUUCCAAGUCUAACACAUAGUGCUUUUUGGUCGAUGAAAUUAAUUCAAGGAGGGUGAAAUGAGGGCACACACCAUGAAAAACUCUGUUCCUCCACUGAGGAGUGAAGGAAAUCAGCAUCUCUGCUGUGUGUGUGGUCUUGGGUUUGGUACAUGCUUAAAUACUAAAGGUUUUACACCACAAAAUACCCAGUGUGCUCACGUAUCCUUUUGAAAGCCAUGUAUACCUGCCGUUUCUCUGAGGAGUGUCAGGGAAUGACAGAUCUCUGGUCCUGACAACUUAGAUUAUGUGUGCUUGUUGCAAAAAAUAAACUUGCCAGCUACCUGAUGUAGUAUGGAAACAAAAUGAUAGACUUCAUCCUGGCCUUGAAAAUUCCCCCACAAACAUGUUUACUUCCUCUUGUAUGGGAAUACAGAAAGGUUAGGCACACUUGUUUGCAGGAUAUUUAUAUUUAUAUCCUCUUUAGGAUCUGCAUUCGUAAGAGUCUUGGCCUUUGCUUUUUGGCCUUACACAUGCAGUAUCUGGAAUUAACUAAAGGAAACAGGAAAACCACAGCAUUCACACCAUUCUAAUGUACCAUAAUUUUUUCUUUCCUUUUUUAAACUGUUAGAGUAUGCAAAUGUUUAGUUAACUGGUCCUGGUGUUUUCUCUUUAUUGAAUUGCUUUCACUGUGGCAAAUAAAUAUUCAUAAAGAAAUGUGGACAAUAAAUCAUUUCAAAUAGUUCAAAGCCAUUUUCCUUCUAGACUGCAUAUAUAUUCAGCUGUGACUUGCCUUUAAUAUUUCAUUCAAAAGACAGACUUGUAGAAGGACAAUAGAGAUAAUGUGUCAAGUAGUAAUUAAAACAGGGAGUAAUGAUUAAAACCAUUUUGAUCUACAUUGUGCUCUGUCAAAUUCAUAAUCUCCUGUGUUUGUUAAGAUGACUUGCUACUUGCUUUAUACAGAAACUCAAAAUAAAAUUCUAUUUGAAGACACUGCAUAGAACAAAAGAUUUUCAACCCUGAGCUUGUGGGGUACAGAGUCCCUCCCAGUUCUGUAGUUUAGGUAUACCUUCUGUAUCAUCUAGUAGGACAAAACUUAGACAGGCACUGUCCCUCCUGCUAAUAUUGUUAUUUUUCUGGGUAGCAGAUCUAGAUGCAGGAAAGAAGACAAUCAAGGGCCACCGCAAUGUGUACGGGCACAUGCAACCUCUCUCACCACUUGUAUUUAAGCUAGAAGCUCCAAAAGAAAUCAAGAUUAGAGAUCCAGUUAGCUUAUAUUUUUGAGGAUCUUGGUUUAAAUCCAAGCAACGAUGAUGCUUCUUGCCUCAUUAUAUGCAUUUUGGCUACUAAUACACAUAUUUGGCCCAAACUCAUCAUCUGUCCCAAUUCAUUGCUGACUUUAGGCCCUGAUUCAACAAAGAACUUACAUACAGACUUAAACAAAUUGAUUUAGGAAAGCAUUCCUCUUUGUGUUUAAUCUUGGGCAGACAUUCAACUUUGAAAUCAAUGGGACUUAUGGACAGCCCUGACCUUGGGGUCUAAAUGGUUGCUGAAUCAGUGCAUUGACAGAAACAUACUGGAAAAGAUAAUAUCCAUGUCUAAUCAGAAUUAUAGUCUCUACUUUCAUGGGAAAUUACCCAUAGAUAACACAUUAUUCUGCUCAAGAAAUCCAUUUUAUAGCAUUUAUUAGAAAGCCUUAAUUCACAUUGCCUGUUUAUGCCAAAGAUACCAGACAAAUAGUGUCAUUCCUUGAUAGUGUAUCUGUAGUAUUCUUUAAAUAAAAAGAAACAAAACAGGGAAAGUUCUGGCACAAGAAGCCAUCCCUUAUUAUUUACUGAGGCUU